AACGAACGCUGGCGGCAGGCUUAACACAUGCAAGUCGAACGCCCCGCAAGGGGAGUGGCAGACGGGUGAGUAACGCGUGGGAACGUGCCCUUCGGUUCGGAAUAACUCAGGGAAACUUGAGCUAAUACCGGAUACGUGCGAGAGCAGAAAGAUUUAUCGCCGAAGGAUCGGCCCGCGUCCGAUUAGCUAGUUGGUGAGGUAACGGCUCACCAAGGCGACGAUCGGUAGCUGGUCUGAGAGGAUGAUCAGCCACAUUGGGACUGAGACACGGCCCAAACUCCUACGGGAGGCAGCAGUGGGGAAUAUUGGACAAUGGGCGCAAGCCUGAUCCAGCCAUGCCGCGUGAGUGAUGAAGGCCUUAGGGUUGUAAAGCUCUUUCGCCAGGGAC
rnacentral:rRNA from 1 species